GCCAGAGCCAUAUCGCCCUGCAUAUCUCUAGCCUUGUUUCCCACUGAAGCUAAGCAGGUUUGAGCCUGGCCAGAAUAUGGAUGGGAGACCUCUAGGGGAAAACUUAGGUUGCUGCUGGAA
rnacentral:rRNA from 1 species